rnacentral:lncRNA from 1 species
AUGUAGUGUCCUGAAGAUAUCAAUUAAGUCUAACUUUUCUAUUGUUUCCUUUAGGAUCUCUGUUGUUUAUUGGUUUUCUGUCUAGAGGAUCUGUCCAUUGAUGUGAGUGGGGUAUUAAAGUCUCCUACUAUGAUUGUAUUCCUAUCAAUUCCUCCCUUUAUGUCUGUUAAUAUUUGUUGUAUGUAUCUGAGUGCUCCUAUAUUUGGGGCAUGUAUGUUGAUGAUAGUGAUAUCUUCUUCUUGAAUGGAUUCUGUAAUCAUUAAAUAGUGUCCUUCUUUGUCUUUCUUUAUGGCUAUUGUUUUAACGUCUAUUUUGUCUGAUAUGAGUAUUGCAGCUCCUGCUUUUCUGUCAUGUCCAUUGGCAUGAAAUAUUUUUUCCCACUUCCUCACUUUCAAUCUAUGUGUCCUUUGUCCUAAGGUGAGUUUCUUAUAGGCAGCAGAUUGAAGGUUUUUGCCUUUUUAUCCACUCAGCCACUCUGUGUCUUUUGAUUGGAGCAUUCAGUCCACUGACAGUUAAGGUGAUAAUUGAUAGAUGAUUGUUUAUUGCCAUUGUGAACCUCAUUUUCCAGUUGAUUCUAUAAUUCUCCAUUCUUUAUUUUUUUGGUUGGAUGGUCUCCAAUUAUUUCCUGCUUGAGUGUUUUUCUUUUCAUUUUUUGUGAAUGUAAUGUUUGGUUUUGGCUGGUGGUUGCCCUGUUUUUUAAGUAUGUUAACCCCUUCCUAUAAUAGUGUGUUUUAGCCUGAUAGUCCUGUAGAUUCAAACACUUCAUUACCAUAAUAAAAUUAAAAAGAAAAUUAAUAAAGAAUCUAUUUAUUUCCUUACUUCCCUUGCCCACAUUUUAUGAUUUUGCUGUCUCUUUUUUCUUUUUAAUUUUAUUUUGUUUUAAACAUCUUACUGAUUAGAUCUGCAUGCUAGCUUAUUUGAGUGACUGCUCUCUUAUUGAGUUCCCGUCAUGGCGCAGUGGUUAACGAAUCCAACUAGGAACUAUGAGGUUGCGGGUUCAGUCCCUGCCCUUGCUCAGUGGGUUAACGAUCUGGCGUUGCCAGAGCUGUGGUGUAGGUUGCAGACGCGGCUCGGAUCCUGUGUUGCUGUGGCUCUGGCGUAGGCGGUGGCUGCAGCUCCGAUUGGACCCCUAGCCUGGGAACCUCCAUAUGCCGCGGAGCGGCCCAAGAA